rnacentral:tRNA from 1 species
GCAGUUCAGUGGUUAGAACUUGGCACUUUCACUGCCAGGGUCUGGGUUCAACCCAUUGUGCA